GUCAUUCAUGGUAUCCCCAAUCCUCAUCUUUGUCACUUCUUUCUCCAGAUCACAAGUAGUUUCAGUAUACUAAAUACCAACUUUAGCUUCCUUAACUAGAUUCUCUUUGAUAGAAGCUAAUUGUGAAGCUUUAAUCUCAUCUUUCUCUUUUUUUUUUGUCUUCAAUUUUCUGUUGUAGCUCGUCCAUUUGUUGCGUCAAACUCAGAAUGCUUGCAUCACAAGUGGCCAGUCGAUUCUUGUCUUUUU
rnacentral:lncRNA from 1 species